rnacentral:tRNA from 4 species
GGCUCGUUGGUGAAUUGGUAAACACAUAGGAUUUUCAUUCCUACAUUACGGGUUCGAUCCCCGUACGAGUCACCA